AACGAACGCUGGCGGCGCGUCUUAAGCAUGCAAGUCGAACGGCAAGGCAGGUGCUGCACCUGCCCUAGAGUGGCGGACUGGUGAGUAACACGUGGGUGACAUGCCUUUAGUUGGGGAUAGCUACUAGAAAUAGUAGAUAAUACCGAAUGUGAUCAAUAUUUAUAGAUGAUGUGAGGAAAGGAGCUAAGGCUUCGCUAAAAGAUUGGCCCGCGGCCCAUUAGCUAGUUGGUAGGGUAAAGGCUUACCAAGGCGAUGAUGGGUAUCCGGCCUGAGAGGGUGAUCGGACACAUUGGGACUGAGAUACGGCCCAGACUCCUACGGGAGGCAGCAGCUAAGAAUAUUCCACAAUGGACGAAAGUCUGAUGGAGCGACGCCGCGUGGAUGAUGAAGGCCCGAAAGGUUGUAAAAUCCUUUUACACUGGAGGAAUAAGCAGAGUAGGGAAUGACUCUGUGAUGACUGUACAGUUUGAAUAAGCAACGGCUAAUUACGUGCCAGCAGCAGC
rnacentral:rRNA from 1 species